rnacentral:pre_miRNA from 1 species
UCCUGUUACUAAGUACUAGUGCCGCAGGAGCUCUCAUAAUUCUCCUGCUGCUCAAGUGCUUAUCAAUGGGU